CCGCCGCCGGGCCUCCAGAGGGGUGCACCCAGCUGAGAGCUUUCGACUUUUGCUCUUAUGGCGCAAUUUCCGCCGAUUUCACGUUUUCGGCGCACGAUGGCGCAAGAAAUCAACCUUGUAUCAAAAUUGCGCAAUUGGCGCAGCCGUAGCACCCCUGUCUUCGCUAAGAUCAGAUUGGCCAUUGGCCCUUGUCAACAGAAGAGCAGCAGCGCUGAAAGCUUGAAGGAUGCCAAGGUUGUUCUAAGACAAAGUGCGAAAAAUGCAACGUUCAUCUCUGCAUGUCAAAUGUCCCCGUGAUUGCUGCUGUGCCAAAUGCCAUACGGAGAUAACUCGAGGGCACAGGAUUCGUAGAUCGUGCGACAGGGCCACCUAGAAGCACAGCAGAUCACUGCACGUAGGUAUUCCCGGCAGUCCGUUGUGUUUGCUUGGCCUUUGACGUGGAUGAAGCAGCUACUAAUCCAGAGUGAAGCAUCGCAGUGCACCACGCUCCGACGAACUUUUGUGUGUCAACAGAGUUUGCGUUCCGUGAAAGACUAUCGAAAUCAAACUUCACGCUGUGACUUCGACAACUCAACAGGCAAAAGUGUUUUACGCGUGUGCAUGUUUCUUUUUCCUGCUCCUCCGGUCGUGCUCCCAGCGCAGGAGUGUUACACAUCUUAUGGAUAACCACGGUAAAGCAUGGUGAAAUAUGUCGAAUUCUCUUUUAUAUAUGCCUGUAUACGUAAGAAUUUCAUGCAUAGAUAACGUGACACUGGAAAAUAAUGUGAAUUUGAUCUGUAUAUUGUGCACAUUUUUGUCAGCCAGGGCGAGGCAGCGGGUGAGUGAAUUGGGGGAAAGGGUGUGUGAAAGAGCACGAGUGGAAAUGCAAACCCCAAGGUACCGCCUGAUGGCCAGCACAGAGGAUGUGGUUCGAAGCCGCGUAGAAACCAGCUAAUUCAGUGGCGACAUUUUUGCAAUUUUGUCACUCCUGAAUAAGCGGUAGUCAAGCAGUGUGAGAUUUAGAGUGUAGUGCGCAUAACGAUUGCACAUGUCCAUGCAAUCUGCGGGCAACGCUAUUGCGUACUUCCGUAUCAUAAAAAUUGUGUAAUGUGCCUAUGCUGAUGAUGAUGAUUCGGGUUUUCCUGGCACACGAGCAACACAUGUGCCUAUGUGUUCUAUAUGGAUUUCCAACGUAAUGUUGUCUUGUGUGUACAUAAAUGAGAGGAGGGCUUACACAUACAACAGAUGGCUUGGCCACUGCAAUUUAUCAGGCAUAACUUUAUUACUGCGAAAAUUUUGCAGCAGCUAACGUUACUCUCUUCAGAAAUUCCUCUCCCUGGCUGUGACAGAGCCACUCCUUGACACUUUGUCUAAAGAACGUGCACAAGAGUCUUCUCAGACAUAGAGGCCCAAAACUGUGUUCUUGUUCUUUUCACGAGGCUGAACUGUCACCCACACUCAGCGUUUCUCCCUUGUAUGAAUAAAAUACCAAGCAUUACCUCA